GAUGAACGCUGGCGGCGUGCCUAAUACAUGCAAGUCGAGCGAACAGACGAGGAGCUUGCUCCUCUGACGUUAGCGGCGGACGGGUGAGUAACACGUGGAUAACCUACCUAUAAGACUGGGAUAACUUCGGAAACCGGAGCUAAUACCGGAUAAUAUAUUGAACCGCAUGGUUCAAUAGUGAAAGACGGUUUUGCUGUCACUUAUAGAUGGAUCCGCGCCGCAUUAGCUAGUUGGUAAGGUAACGGCUUACCAAGGCGACGAUGCGUAGCCGACCUGAGAGGGUGAUCGGCCACACUGGAACUGAGACACGGUCCAGACUCCUACGGGAGGCAGCAGUAGGGAAUCUUCCGCAAUAGGCGAAAGCCUGACGGAGCAACGCCGCGUGAGUGAUGAAGGUCUUCGGAUCGUAAAACUCUGUUAUUAGGGAAGAACAAAUGUGUAAGUAACUAUGCACGUCUUGACGGUACCUAAUCAGAAAGCCACGGCUAACUACGUG
rnacentral:rRNA from 1 species